GUAACACGUGGGAACGUGCCCUUCGGUUCGGAACAACUCAGGGAAACUUGAGCUAAUACCGGAUACGCCCUUCGGGGGAAAGAUUUAUCGCUGAAGGAUCGGCCCGCGUCUGAUUAGCUAGUUGGUGAGGUAAUGGCUCACCAAGGCGACGAUCAGUAGCUGGUCUGAGAGGAUGAUCAGCCACACUGGGACUGAGACACGGCCCAGACUCCUACGGGAGGCAGCAGUGGGGAAUAUCGGACAAUGGGCGCAAGCCUGAUCCAGCCAUGCCGCGUGUGUGAUGAAGGCCUUAGGGUUGUAAAGCACUUUCGUCCGGGACGAUAAUGACGGUACCGGAAGAAGAAGCCCCGGCUAACUUCGUGCCAGCCGCCGCGG
rnacentral:rRNA from 1 species